rnacentral:rRNA from 1 species
CCCUUAGAGUUUGAUCCUGGCUCAGAACGAACGCUGGCGGCGUGCUUAACACAUGCAAGUCGAACGAGAAAGUGUCUUCGGACAUGAGUAGAGUGGCGCACGGGUGAGUAAUGGAUAGGAACGUACCAUUUGGUGGGGGAUAACCACGGGAAACUGUGGCUAAUACCGCAUGAGAUCGUAAGAUGAAAGAGGGCCUCUACUUGUAUGCUCUCGCCGAAUGAUCGGCCUAUCUCCCAUUAGCUUGUUGGUAGGGUAAUGGCCUACCAAGGCUACGAUGGGUAGCUGGUCUGAGAGGAUGAUCAGCCACACUGGAACUGAGACACGGUCCAGACUCCUACGGGAGGCAGCAGUGGGGAAUCUUGCACAAUGGGCGAAAGCCUGAUGCAGCAACGCCGCGUGAGUGAAGAAGGCUCUUGGGUCGUAAAGCUCUUUCGGCUAGGAAGAAGGGCGGUCAUGGCUAAUAUCCAUGAUGUUUGACGGUACUAGAAGAAGAAGCACCGGCUAAUUCCGUGCCAGCAGCCGCGGUAAUACGGAAGGUGCAAGCGUUGUUCGGAUUGACUGGGCGUAAAGGGCACGUAGGCGGGCUAGUAAGUCGGAUGUGAAAUCCCUGGGCUUAACCUGGGAACUGCAGUCGAUACUGCUGAUCUUGAAUACCUGAGAGGUUGGCGGAAUUCCUAGUGUAGGAGUGAAAUCCGUAGAUAUUAGGAGGAACACCAGAGCGAAGGCGGCCAACUGGCAGUGUAUUGACGCUGAGGUGCGAAAGCGUGGGUAGCAAACAGGAUUAGAUACCCUGGUAGUCCACGCCGUAAACUAUGGAUACUAGGUGUUUGGGGAAUUAACCCCCUGAGUACUGAAGCUAACGCAUUAAGUAUCCCGCCUGGGGAGUACGGUCGCAAGGCUAAAACUCAAAGGAAUUGACGGGGGCCCGCACAAGCGGUGGAGUAUGUGGUUUAAUUCGAAGCAACGCGCAGAACCUUACCUACCCUUAACAUUCCAGGCCAACUGCAGAGAUGCAGCUUUCUCUUCGGAGACCUGGGGAUAGGUGCUGCAUGGCUGUCGUCAGCUCGUGUCGUAAGAUGUCUGGUUAAGUCCAAUAACGAGCGCAACCCUUAUCCUCAGUUACCAGCAUUAAGUUGGGGACUCUGUGGAGACUGCCGAUGUUAAACCGGAGGAAGGCGGGGAUGACGUCAAGUCCUCAUGGCCCUUACGGGUAGGGCUACACACGUACUACAAUGGCAGAAACAAACCGCCGCGAAGCCGAGAGGUGGAGCUAAUCGGUAAAACACUGUCUCAGUCCGGAUUGGAGUCUGCAAUUCGACUCCAUGAAGUUGGAAUCGCUAGUAAUCGCUGAUCAGCAAGCAGCGGUGAAUACGUUCCCGGGCCUUGUACACACCGCCCGUCACACCACGAAAGUGGUCACCACCAGAAGUAAGUGAGCUAACUUCGGAGGCAGCUUACCAAGGUUGUGGUCGCGAUUGGGGUGAAGUCGUAACAAGGUAACCAAGGG